rnacentral:rRNA from 1 species
AGGACGAACGCUGGCGGCGUGCUUAACACAUGCAAGUCGAGCGGAAAGGCCCUUCGGGGUACUCGAGCGGCGAACGGGUGAGUAACACGUGAGCAACCUGCCCCUAGCUUCGGGAUAGCCCCGGGAAACCGGGAUUAAUACCGAAUAUGACCUCGGCCGACAUCGGCUUUGGUGGAAAGUUUUUCGGCUAGGGAUGAACUCGCGGCCUAUCAGCUUGUUGGUGGGGUAAUGGCCUACCAAGGCGACGACGGGUAGCCGGCCUGAGAGGGCGACCGGCCACACUGGGACUGAGACACGGCCCAGACUCCUACGGGAGGCAGCAGUGGGGAAUAUUGCGCAAUGGGCGAAAGCCUGACGCAGCGACGCCGCGUGGGGGAUGAAGGCCUUCGGGUUGUAAACCCCUUUCAGCAGGGACGAAGCGAGAGUGACGGUACCUGCAGAAGAAGCGCCGGCUAACUACGUGCCAGCAGCCGC